rnacentral:rRNA from 1 species
CGGAACGAGUUAUCUGAACCUUCGGGGAACGAUAACGGCGUCGAGCGGCGGACGGGUGAGUAAUGCCUAGGAAAUUGCCCUGAUGUGGGGGAUAACCAUUGGAAACGAUGGCUAAUACCGCAUGAUGCCUACGGGCCAAAGAGGGGGACCUUCGGGCCUCUCGCGUCAGGAUAUGCCUAGGUGGGAUUAGCUAGUUGGUGAGGUAAGGGCUCACCAAGGCGACGAUCCCUAGCUGGUCUGAGAGGAUGAUCAGCCACACUGGAACUGAGACACGGUCCAGACUCCUACGGGAGGCAGCAGUGGGGAAUAUUGCACAAUGGGCGCAAGCCUGAUGCAGCCAUGCCGCGUGUGUGAAGAAGGCCUUCGGGUUGUAAAGCACUUUCAGUCGUGAGGAAGGUGGUGUAGUUAAUAGCUGCAUUAUUUGACGUUAGCGACAGAAGAAGCACCGGCUAACUCCGUGCCAGCAGCCGCGGUAAUACGGAGGGUGCGAGCGUUAAUCGGAAUUACUGGGCGUAAAGCGCAUGCAGGUGGUUUGUUAAGUCAGAUGUGAAAGCCCGGGGCUCAACCUCGGAAUAGCAUUUGAAACUGGCAGACUAGAGUACUGUAGAGGGGGGUAGAAUUUCAGGUGUAGCGGUGAAAU